rnacentral:rRNA from 2 species
UGAAUUUUAAAGGGCCGCGGUAUUUCUGACCGUGCGAAGGUAGCAUAAUCAUUAGUCUUUUAAUUUGAGGCUCGUAUGAAUGGUCGGACGAGGGAUAAACUGUUUCAGGUGAAAAACUCGAAUUUAACUUUUAAGUGAAAAGGCUUAAAUAUUUCAAAAAGACGAUAAGACCCUAUAAAUCUUAACAUUAAAUUUCAUGUAAUUCUAGCUUAUUAGUGUAAAGAAACCCAUGGUAAAAAUGUUAUGUUGGGGCAACAAAGAUAUAAAAAAAUUAACUGUUUUAUCAUUUAAACAAAAAUCAUUGAAUUUCUAGAUCCUUUUUUAAGAUUUAAAGAUUAAGUUACUUUAGGGAUAACAGCGUCAUUCUUUUUGAGAGUCCCCAUCGAAAAAAGAGUUUGCGACCUCGAUGUUGAAUUAGAAGAUCU